GGCUGGUCGGAAGGUAGGAGCUAUCUCAAUUGAUUGUUCACAGGUCAGUUACAGAUUGAACUCUUGCUCUAAACUUUCCUCCCUUCUCACUACUGCACUUGACUCAUCUUCA
ensembl:misc_RNA Y_RNA Y RNA